GGGUGUGAUCAUACCAGCACUAACGCACCGGAUCCCAUCAGAACUCUGCAGUUAAGUGCGCUUGGGCGAGAGUAGUACAAGGAUGGGUGACCUCCCGGGAAGUCCUCGUGUUGCACCCC
rfam:Brassica oleracea var. oleracea cultivar TO1000 chromosome C3, whole genome shotgun sequence